CAGUUCACCAAGCAUGUCGUGUUUGUUGUUGUUUUGUUAACUUAUCCCAAUUCCUGUUGGAGCCAAAUUCACUCUAAAAAGACAAAGAGUUUAUUUCUGCGGAUGGAUUAAAAGGGGAGUUUUAUGUAUGUGUCUGAUUGGGAAUCGGUGGAAAGGCCGAGCCUCACCUUAACACAUAAAAGUAGUCCCUGUCUGUAAGGAGAACCGGGUUUCGGAACCUCUCCCCGCGCGUCCGGCUCGCAUCAUCCAGUCGGUCUCCGCCCCGUCGCUCCAUCAUCAGCUCACAUCCAGGGAAGGAGGGGAGGGGGGGAAUAGAAAAGAAACGACGGGAGCAGGAGGAACCACGUCGGUGGAAAUAAGGAACCAUGAAGGACCGCAUGCUGGAACUUAGACAUGGCAAGGAGACAACAGAAGAAGAGGAUGAAGUCGCUGUGGGGAUGGACAAAGGCUUCAUGGAGGAAUUCUUUGAACAGGUAGAGGAGAUCCGGGGUUUUAUCGAGACUCUGGCAGAGAAAGUGGAAGAGGUGAAGAGGAAGCACAGCGCCAUCCUUGCCUCGCCAAACCCCGAUGAGAAGACCAAAGCCGAGCUUGAGGACCUCAUGGCAGACAUCAAGAAACUGGCCAACAAAAUUCGCUCUAAAUUAAAGAGUAUUCAGCAAACCAUUGAGCAGGAGGAAGGGCAGAACAGAUCGUCAGCUGACCUGAGGAUACGCAAAACACAGCACUCCACGCUGUCGAGGAAGUUCGUCGAGGUGAUGUCGGAGUACAACACCACGCAGUCGGACUACAGAGAGCGCUGCAAGGGCCGCAUUCAGAGACAGCUGGAGAUCACUGGAAGAAACACUACAAAUGAGGAGCUAGAGAGCAUGUUAGAGAGUGACAACCCUGCCAUCUUUACCUCUGGGAUAAUAAUGGAUAACAUCACCCAACAAGCAAUGAAUGAGAUCGAGACGCGGCACAACGAGAUUAUCAAGCUGGAGAACAGCAUCAGGGAACUUCAUGACAUGUUCAUGGAUAUGGCCAUGUUGGUGGAGAGCCAGACAACAAAGAAAGCUCCUUCCAAUAAAACAAGGGCGAGCUGGUGAACAACGUCCAGCGGAGUGUUCUGGGCGCUCAGGAAUAUGUGGAGGAAGCAAAGGAGCGCAUCCCAAAAUGCAAAAAGCUCAAAAAGACCAGCAGACGGAAAAUGAUCCUGAUAGGUGGUUGUGUCGCCGUGUGCCUCAUCAUCCUCAUUGUUUCUCUUGCUGCCGGCCUCAGUUAGGACCCUGACACACACCGUUUGCUACUCUAGAAGUGGCUCAAUAAUUUAGUGUCACCAUUGUAAAUGAGCACUCAAACUGUGUGGGACUAAUUAAUAUUGUCUAACUGUGUUAUUUUAUAUUGCUCUUGCACAUGUUGUGUUUCUUAUUUUGCACGUUUUCUGAAAAUUACAAAAUGUUGCGUACUUUCCCAAAUUGAGCAUUUACUCUAAUUAUCUAAUUAUCACAUGCAUCUCUGAACAGUUCAUGGACAACCAAUCUUUUUCAAAACUUGUGGAUGCAGAGUUUUGAAUAAGCGCCAUAAAAAAAAUACUUUUUCAAGGGUGAUAAAAUCUAGUAAAACUAUUAAAAUUUUCAGCAAACUCACACCAAUGCAACAUUUUUUCACUUCAGGUAGAGAAACUAUUACCAACAACGUCACUAGAUCUCACUUUCGAAAAAGCCAACCUAAUCCUUUAACUGCACUAGCUUAGCGUUGCUAUAUGUCUUACCACAAAAAACUCAGUUAGUUUUCCAAUAAUAUAUGUUCUUUUCUUCCUAAAAUGCAAUUUCAAGCUAUCACAACAGGCAGUGGUUUAAAAAAAAAUCUACAUUCAUUUGGCCCAGACACUGAAGAAAAUCACAUAUUGUUUGGAGAAAGCUCAUUUAAAUUUAAUUUAAUGAAGUAAUCCCCAGACAUUUUCUACUUACCAUAUAUAAUUAAUAAAAAACCCAGUGAAAUAACAACUUUUCAUAUCUGAGAAAAUUCCCCAAAAACGAACACCCGUCAACAGUCUGGCUGCUGACUUCUCUGGAGUCGUCCAUUUCUGCUGUGGUAGCGAAUGUUUCCUGUCCUUAUCCCUCUGCCCCGAGUUGAACCCAAGAUUCAAGUUGUUACAAUCACACAACAAGUGCAGAGAGACAAAGAGCGUUGUGCUCACUCCAUCAUUUUCUGUGUUGCCAUUAGCAGCCAUACAUCUGUUUCACAUUUGAAGUGUCUUCCUUUUUGUCACAAAAGAAAUCCAGUUAGUUUUGAAAAUAGCAUAAAGCCACACUCUACUGUUACUUAGACUGUGUCAUUGUCCAUAUAUGGUAAUGGUAUUUCCCUUUGGAGAGGCUCAACUCCAGAAAGUCUUUCCUGAUACACAAUCAGGAGAGACAAAGCAAAUCAUUAUUUGCUUUGAAAAAGAUAGAAAGGUCCCCUUAAAUCCAUUUUUAUUUUAUAUAUUUAAUUGUUUUGGCUUGAAAAUAUAAUGCCUUUUACCUUUUCAGUUCAGGACAGAUUUGGAAAAUAAUUUAAUAGAAAUGCACAUAAAUAUGCUUGACAUACAUGUAAAAAUACAUCAUGACCAUUUUCCAUGUGAUUCAUACAACAAACAUUUGCGUAAAUGUUGCUUCGGCUGAGGCUAUUCAACGGAGACCCAUAUCAACAAUUUGAUCAACAUGCCGUGAGAAUUUGCAUGGAUCCACCAAAAGCAUUUGGUCCAUCACAGAAAUUAGGAACUGCCUUUUUGAUUUAAAGGUUGAACAAGUAGCAGUAGCCAAUUCUGUCAUGAGAAAUGCGCCAACUGAGAAUAACUGUGAUGUAAAUCCACUAUUUGGUCUUUAGUUCCUAUCAUUUAGCUCUUUUGCUAAAUGAGAGACAUGGAUAAUUCAACUGAAGCUCAGAUUAAAACAAAUCUGAGACAUCAUGUUAUUGUUUUGUCGGACACUGGUUGCUUAUGAAUUAUAUUUAUUGAUAGUGUUAAAAACCUGUAUUGAGCCUUUUCUACCACCAGAGGGAGCUAAAGCUGAUUCUCUGACCUUGCUUUUAACGCUGCAGUGAUCGUGUUUGUUGGAUGUGUAAAACGCCACUAAGGCAGAGAGAACUCAACAUGAGCUAACAUAAGAAGGCGGCUUGAUCUGAUCUAAUGUAUUUAUCUUGAAAUACUCUAUUAAAUCAAACAAAAGAUUGCUAAAAAUCUUUAGUUGAGAUUGCUAAAAUCUCAAUCUUUAUUGCCGUGACGACAGUAACUUUCAUUUCAGCUGAAUUUCCUCUCAGAGGACAAAAACGUUUAUAGCUUGCUGUAAAUAUUGCAGCACUCUUUUAUUUACCUGCAUUUUCUGAAGAAUUGAUUACAAUCUUAAAUGAUAAUUUUACGUUUCACUGAGUUCCCUCUGCCUGUAAAGCUUAACGUUACCUUUAAGUUGUUGAACAAAAUGCCGGAAGCAAAUAUUCAAACGUGAGCUUUUACAAAUCCUUGUCAUAGUUGCACUCCAAGAAUUUCCUGAGAUUAUUUUAUGCUGUUAAAUCCCACUUUUGUUUUCUGAGUUCCACUUUGUUCAAAUGUAUUAAAGCUCUGUUCAUACUGCUAACAUGCUUUCUUCUCUUUCCUGUCUGCUGCGUGGGAUUUUUCUUUUUUUAUGUCAUUAUUCUUUUCUUUUUUUUACUCUCUGUAGAAGAAAAUCAUGAUCAUUAUAUGCUGUGUGGUUUUGGGAAUUGUCAUUGCUUCCAUAGUUGGAGGAACUCUGUCUUAAACCUCUGCUGCUGUCACACCCACAAAUGAAAACAGGCAAAGCCAGUUCAUUCAGUGUCCUGUAUAAAAAACUUCAAUCCAGCACGGUGUUUCCCAGCCCCGGUCCUCAGAUCAAACUGCCCUGUGUCUUGUAGAUGUUCUCCUUACGAUAACACAACCGAUUCUGAUAAUUGAAGUUCAACCGGCGCCUGGCAGUUGGCCAAUUGAUCGAAAUCGGGUUUUCCGAAGCAGAGAGACAUCUAACGCAUCCCUGGCAGUUCAUCCUGAGGGUCAGUGUUGGAAACGACCGAUCUGGAACAUGCCACAUUACUGUAUGAUGCAUUCUGCAAAUAGUGUACAGGGCCAGAGGUGAUCUCGCAUGAGUUGCUAUUUUGUAAAAAUGUGGUGCUGCAAGUUGUUCAUCUGGAUGUUGUUAAAGGCUAUGAUGUUUCUGGAAAAGGGACGUUACUCAAUAGUAUGUAUUCUUAGGCAUUCCAAUUCGCAAAUAAGACACUACUUUGUACUCUCUGUUUUGUGUUGUACAAGCGAAGUGACGGGUCACUCACCUGCAGUGUUUUCACAGACAAUAUUUUACCUAUUGAUUUGUAGUUUUUUAUAUAUAUAUGUUCAUAUUUUAUUCUAGUUUCCUUCAAAGCCCUUCAUGGUGAAGUGUUGUUCUGUGUUCAGAUGCAAGGGGGGGGGAGGGGACCAGAAAAAGAAAACUAACCAUGUACAGACGUAAAUGUUUUUGCUUGUUGAAUCCUCACACUGCCAAACUUCUUUUGUUUUACUAUUUUUUAUAUACACAGCUGAAGCAGUUAAACUGUUUCUUUUACACUGCCUGGCCAAA